rnacentral:rRNA from 1 species
AUGGCAGCUGCAACUGGCUAUGAUGGCCCGAAUGAUGAGCAGUUGCAUGCGUAUGCCGACCUAAGUUAUGCUCACCAACCAUUCUACGGGAGCAAUCUGGUGGAGGUUUUUGCCGUGCGUGUCCCUGAUGCAGCCGCCUCCUCCCGAGGAAACAGGCUGCCGCCUUGUGGCAUAGUCGAUGUUGGUGGCGCCUAUUGCUCUGUGUCUCUGGUCUUCAGCAGGAUCCACCAUGACGACUCCAUCACUCCACAACCUUGCGAUUGGCAGGGCAACCUUGUGCUAACUGGUCCAGGAAGAGCCAUCUCAGCAGAUGGACCUAUCGGGUUCAGCAUUUAUCUCCAUGACAAUAGCCAAGAUAUCUCUGUUGAAGAAAUCUGGAACAAGAGCGUGCAUUUACACCUGGAGACCCCAACAUUGGACAGGCCCCUAUUAGAAACUGCCAAUACUCCUUAUGGUCCUGUGGAGGUGAUCUAUGCCAUCCUGAGCCAGGGAGUUGAAUGCAAAGUUGCUGUGAGGCUUACUCAUUGCGAUGUAAAAGAUCCUAUCAGCCUUUUUGGGAGAAUUGUCGCUCGCAGCGAGCUGUUUGAUAUCGGCUGCGUGCUUUUCUACAACGAAGACGUGAAGGGCAUAUGUGCACGAUCAGGAGAGCUGACUCCCUUAGCUAGACAUCAGCUUGCGGUGCCAUUGUACAAGGUACUGGUAAUUGAAAUAGAUCUGCACUCUGAUUGUGGUGACGAGAUUAUGAGAGGCACACUAGAGUUUCAUCCCUUGCCCGAAGGCGAUCAAACAGGGCGUCUUAUCAGCAAGAGUGGUACUCAAAUUGAAGUGAAGAUCUUCAUUACAGAAUACUUUAGGUAG